rnacentral:rRNA from 1 species
GACGAACGCUGGCGGCGCGCUUAACACAUGCAAGUCGAGCGAUGAAAUCUUAACAGAACCCUUCGGGGCAAAGAUAAGACGGAUUAGCGGCGGACGGGUGAGUAACACGUGAGUAACCUGCCUUUUACACAGGGAUAGCCUCGGGAAACCGGGAUUAAAACCUGAUGAAACUAUCAAAUCACAUGAUUAAGAAAGUUAAAACUCCGGUGGUAAAAGAUGGACUCGCGUCCCAUUAGCUAGUUGGUGAAGGUAACGGCCCACCAAGGCAACGAUGGGUAGCCGGCCUGAGAGGGUGAACGGCCACAUUGGAACUGAGAAACGGUCCAAACUCCUACGGGAGGCAGCAUUGGGGAAUAUUGCACAAUGGGGGAAACCCUGAUGCAGCGACGCCGCGUGAGCGAAGAAGGCCUUCGGGUCGUAAAGCUCUUUUAUAUGGGAAGAUAAUGACGGUACCAUAAGAAAAAGCCCCGGCUAACUACGUGCCAUCAGCCGCGUUAAUACGUAGGGGGCUAGCGUUGUCCGGAAUCACUGGGCGUAAGGGGUUCGCUGGCGGCAAUGCAAGUCAGAUGUAAAAGGCAAAGGCGCAACCUUUGUAUGCAUCCUAAACUGUAUAGCUUGAGAAUGUGUAGGCAAGUGGAAUUUUUAGUGUGUGUGGGGAAAUGCGUUGAAAUUUAAAAAGAAUAACGGUGUGUGAAGUGACUUGCUGGGUCACAAUCUGACUCUGAUGAAUGAAUGCGGUGUGGGAUGAAAUGGGGUAUGAUACCGUUUUGGUCCAUGGGUGUAUUCGCUGUUGUUGUGACCUUUUUGUGUGUGGGGGGCAAAAGAAGAAGUGUGGUAUCAGUUGUGUUUGUUUUGUGUGUGUUUGAUUAUGUUUUGUUUGUGUGUUGAUAUGUGUGUUUGUGUGUUGACUGUUGUUCUUGUGUUUGUGUUGUGUGAUGUUGUGUGUUUAUGUGUGUGGUUAUGUCUCUUGUUGUUGGGGGCUAGUUGCUAGUGUGUGUGUUAUGGUGAUGUGCUGGUGUUGUGUGUUGUGUGUGUGUGUGUGUUUUUGUUGAUGGUGAUAGUUGUGUGUUGUG